GGCGGCUCGAGUGGUGGCCACUAUUACUGGGCUUAAAGCGUUCGUAGCUGGUUUGUUAAGUCUCUGGGGAAAUCUUCCGGCUUAACCGGAAGGCGUCUCAGGGAUACUGGCAGACUAGGGACCGGGAGAGGUGAGGGGUACUCCAGGGGUAGGAGUGAAAUCCUGUAAUCCUUGGGGGACCACCUGUGGCGAAGGCGCCUCACCAGAACGGCUCCGACAGUGAGGGACGAAAGCUGGGGAGCAAACC
rnacentral:rRNA from 1 species